CUUCGAGGUGACGCUGCUGCGCCCGGACGGCAGCCGUGCGGAGCUGUGGACUGGGAUUAAGAAGGGGCCCCCACGCAAACUCAAGUUCCCGGACCCUCAGGAGGUGGUGGAGGAGCUGAAGAAGUACCUUCCUUAGGGAGAAUGGACCAGACGCCCACCAGCCUAGUCCCGUCCCUGGUGAUGUUGGAGCAUUUAUGAUGGAACAUGGCCAAACUUCAGUCAUGUGCCUGAAGCCCGUCUCCUCACUUCCAGAAAUGGUGGUUCAGUUGUGAGGCAACCUUCCAGAAAGGCAUUGCCAAAAAAGUUAUUGGAUUUGGUUAAUAAAAGUUCUUGACUAAAA